GUGCUGAUAUAGUUUGUACUCAUAUUUAAUGGACAUCUUUGAUCUUAUAUAUAUAACAAAAAAAGAUAUUGAACCAGACUAAGAUUGUACAUGAUGUAGUUCCACAAGGGUUCCAGAGUUUUGUUUAUACAGGACAUUUGUACCUCAUACAAGUAUGUUGAGAGAAGUUCAGAACAAGCUAUUUUGUUUGAAGAGGAGUUGUCAGCACGUCAUCUUUGAAUAAAGUCAAUUGUAUUAGAAGUGAAGCCUGAACAGAGACUUACAAGGCAAAUAAUUGGCUGUGGCAAACAUGUGUAUGCAUUUAACAUGUUUAAAGACUUGAAGAACUUGUACUGCCUUCUUCAGAUUUCAGUAGAAUUUGUUUAAGACAGUAAAUUCUGAGUAUGAAUUGAAGAAUUUUUGCUCAUGAAUUUUAAUGAAUUAUGAAAAUGUUUUACAUCUUAAAUAUAC